rnacentral:rRNA from 1 species
AUGUGUAGUAUAAAGAAAAAUACACACUUAGCAGAACUUAUCCAAAAAACUUCUCUUAUUGUAUGGGAUGAGGCCCCUGCUAAUCAUAGAUAUUGUUUUGAAGCAUUGGACCGUACACUUAGAGAUAUAUUAUCAGAAAUAAGGCAAAAUGCAGAAAAUAAGCAAUUUGGUGGUAUAACUGUUGUGCUUGGUGGAGAUUUUAGGCAAACACUUCCAGUAAUACACAAUGCAACAAAAGCCCAAAUUCUAAGGUCAUGCAUUGUUAAUUCUUAUUUAUGGAGACAAUGUAAGCUUCUCGAGUUAACUGAAAAUAUGAGGCUCAAGUCAGGAAAUCUCUCCACCUUAGAAAGAGAGGAGCUAAGUAAUUUUGCUGAAUGGCUUCUUAGGGUGGGCAAUGGAACAGAACCGAUUGUUUCUGUCCCAAAUGAUUCCAGUAACUCAUUUAUAAAGAUUCCAGAGUCUUUGCUUCUA